GAUCGAUCGAGCGGCGACGAUGGAUCGCGCACAGCCGCGGCGGCGGCGACGACGACAUUCGGCGAGGCUCUUCACUGUGCACUUGUUGUCACGUGUCGGCGGCUCGGUGCCGUUCGCGCCGCGUACGCCGCGAAUUCGUCGCGUUACCGUCCUAACACUCUCGCGGAGAUGAGACUCGCGGCGAUCGAACGCGGGCGGAUCGAUCGCGGGGAGAUCGAUCGCGGGGAGAUCGAUCGCGACGGGAGACUUUCGGGAAACGAUUCGCGCAACGAACGAACGAACGAUCGAGCACAGAAGGGAAAACGAAAACGCGUUGAUUCGCGCGAAAGGUCGCGACGGUGUUGAUGCCGUCGCGAGUGCCGGGAUCUACGUUUGCCAAAAAGUGAAACUGCACAAGGUCGAGCAACGUCGAACCGAGCGAGCCACGCGACGCGCUGUCGGAAACGAUUCGGGAUCCACUGACGGCCCCGCGCGCACACGUUAACUGUCAACCGUGCGAUUUCACGUGUCUCGGUAGAGCUGUGUUGCGGCGCGCCGCGGCCGAUCUGGCGAAUCCUGUCGAUCGUGCUCCGGAGGAUCGGGUGCUCGCUCGGCCGCGGAUGGAAGGUGCGUGUCCCGUGUGUCAAAUUCCGUGAGAUAUUAUAUCGGUGUGGUUCACGGAUCGAGCUUUUCGGCGGCCGUGCCGAAAAAUCGGUCGCCGCGUUUCUCUCUCUCUCUCUCUCUCUUUCUCUCUUUCUAUCUCGUUUUUUUCCUUCGCUGGGGAUCGUUCGUGACGGUCGAGCAGCAACGGCGACGACGACGACAACACACAAACAACAGCGGCAGUGGCAGUGGAGCCCGGUGCGUCGUCGUGCGAACACUAAAUAAACAACAUUCCGACACGGCACCCAAGAGCGUUCCGUUGCCACGUUGGAUGAAGAGGAGAGGGAACGACGAUUAAUCCGAGACCUCAGAUGACCUGUUCAAAAUGCUUAUUUCAAGAUUGUGUAAUAAACACCUCGUGAUGUAUCCAGCGGUCAAUAAAAUGAUUCUUAUUGUGCUUGUUGACACCGAGA